CUAAGGCAAGGAAUAGUCAGAGGUGGUUUAAUUGCUCAUUUCUCUCUAAAUUAUAGCCUACCUAAUCUGGUAUUAAUUGAUGGUCUCCUAUCCAAGAACAAACCACUCUUAUGGAGGAGUAAAUAAGUUCUUUUGGAUUCUGUGAACCUUCCUCCUGAGUAAAUGCUUAAUAAUAUUUCAUUAUACUCAAAUACUGGAGAUUAUAACUUUUAAAAAUUACACUGUUGACAAAUAUAAAAGACAUGCAGUGUCUGCUACCUGAGAUGUGUGAUUUUUCAAAAACCAUAUAAAGCCAUUUGUAAGUGAAUUUGCACUCUGGGCCUAAUUAACAUGAGGGAGACAAGUCCUAUGUGCACUACGUGGAUUUCAUUGACACAUUCUUUCAUGACCAUUCCUAAGACCUAACUAUGCUCUUCCUUGUGGUGGUUCAAGAAAGAAGAAAAUGGACUGGCACUCAUACUAGGCAGAAGUCUAUUGCCUCUGUCAAUAUCUUUGCCUCCCUACUGUGCUGACCAGGGCAAACAUUUAACCCAAAGAGACAGAGAUCAACCCCAAACCUGCCCUGGCUUGACCCUUGAGGACAACAAUAGCCACAUAUUUUCAAAAGCCUUCCCCUUAACUACACAUUUACAAUGAUAAUUAACUGGCUGUUUUAAAAGCCUUAUUGAAAUCCACACUGUGGCAAAGGAAUGUCAGGAGCAAGGCAGCUGCUCUCAGGAAUCUCAGACUUUGAUUAGUAUUUAGCCCCAUUUCAUUCCUCUUUGUCCACAGACUUAUUCUGUCCAUGCCAAAUUCAAAUGGAUUGAUUGACCUAGAAAAACAUUCUUCACUUGCACAGAGAUUACUUUCUCUGAGAAAUGCAGUCUUCAAGUGAGUUCACUCUGAGAGGCUCUAUUUUGAGGUUGGCAGAAGCUGGUCUAACAGCAGGAGCUCAUCCCACUCCCUGGAUUCGAACCGCCGACCUUUCAGCCAACAAGUUCAGCAGCUUAGCGGUUUAACCUGCUGUGCCACUGGAGACACCGGUUGUUAUUAGUCAGAGACAUUUGGAAACCCUCCAGUAUGAAUCAGAGGAACAAAAGUCCCUGAAGCAGGCCCCCUCCCCGGUUUUCGGCAAGCCAAAGAGUUCAGCAGCGCAGUGUGAUGCGUGUCGGCACAUCAGAUACAGGGCUGUGGGUGUUCAGAGGGCAAUCGGAGAUCAUACACGGCCUUGGCAAAACUUUGUGGAUCCUGUCUCAGCUUGACCUGAAACUGUAACCUUUUGGAACUGCAACAGAAGUCCCUUCCAGCUUAUUCCUGUCUGGGAGCAGCAGAAAGAUUGAAAUGCAUCAAAGAACCUUUUGAGGAAAGGAAUUAUCCCAGCCCUGAAACAGAGGACUGUUCUUUGACAUCCUUCAAAUAAAGAACUACAAUCUACAAACAUGGACAUCCUUCCUAGCCUAGCUCAAACUGAGAGAAAAGUGCUCUGCACAGGGUACAGGGACAAGAAGCUUUUUGUCUAGGCAUUGUCUGCGGCUCCUUGUGUUGCAGGCAUCUUAUGGAAGCUAAGCUGACCUGGAUCUGGUCAAUGUCAAGCUGGAAGACCAAGAGAAAAACCCACAUCGCAUUUGUUUGUCUUCUAUGAUGGAAGAAUAAAAUCUGGAGAAAUCAGAUACUAUUAUCUCACUGGCAUAUAUUUCAGUGUAUGUAUCUGAAUUUUUAUUUGUAUCAUAUAAUGAUUUAUGUGUUAUAAAUAACAAACAUUUUUAAAUGCCAGAUUUUUAUCAUCAUUAUUACCAUCAUCAUCAUCACUACCACCACUUUAUGCCUGGCUGUUAAUGAAGUGUAUGGGAAAUAUGCCAAGGAAUACCCAAAAGAACAUCUGGCACACAUAAAGAAAAUGAUAAAGGGGGGAAGUCAAGCAUAAACAAGGAAACACCCAACUGAGGUUGAUUCAGAGGAGGGCCAACAAGUGAUAGCACUUGGUAAAAUGGCAUAAAUAGCUGGAGGCUGGAGCUGGUAUGGUAGUAACAUUUGUGGAACUGCUAUAGCCUGAAUCUCUGUUGGUUAAUUCUUGGAUGGAACUUUGUAUUUGGUGACUGAACUAUUUUUAGGACAACAACUUGAAUUGGUGAAAUUGCUUGGCUUUGACCCUUGGAAAUAAGUAUGGACUCUUCAUAUGGUUUGUCCUUGUUGGACUGCUUGCUGUGUAUGAUUACAGACUGCUUUUUGACUAUGAGAUGGUGAGCAGCUGCAUUAACAGAGAUUCUGUGUCAGAUCCUUGACACCUUGUGGCAAAUGUGAUUUCCCUAGAUACUUCUACUUCUCUAAUAGAACCUGGGUCACACCAGCCUGCUGUCUUCACAGUUGCAUUUGUUUAUGGAAUUGAAAUAUACCAGUUUUAUAAUAUUCAUUAACACACUUCUCUGCAGUAGUGCAACAGCAAUGUUUUGACAAUCUAUACUUCUGCAAUCUGUCUUCUGCACAGCCUCCAUAACCCUGUCUUUCUGUCCUAUGCCUUAACUGGCAUGUUUUGGGGGUUUUGCUGUUUUAUUCUCUUUUUUACUGUAAUUUCACAAGCAGAAGCAGGGCAGACAUCUCAUUGUGUGAUAAAUGCAGCCAACAAUGCUAUUAUUCUGCUGAAAUUCUACUUUUCCAACUCCGUGUGAUAAAUUCCUCAGUACUGGGAAUUCAGCAAGUAGCCAGCUCUACAACUGAGAGGAAGAAUAAGGGCUUCUCUCAUUUUGGUUUCUUCUGAUGAUGUAGAGUAGAAUGGAGACGGAAGUUCAGUUUUCAUGAGCCAUUUCCAAGCAGGAGGCAAGUGCAAAUUUUCCAGUUUUUGUGACCUUAGCUCUGGGCAAGAGGAAAGACUAUGUGUUAAUCUCCAGCUAAACUAGUAGAGUAGCAACUUGUGACAAUUUCUAAAGCUUAAUUGAUGAGACAAGUAGGUAAAGGUAAAUGAGAAGGAAUGAUCCCCUUAAUUUAGCUGGCUCUGGGAAUCACCACUUCACCUAAGAUUUCUCUAUUAAUUUCCAAAAAGAAAUUUAUGUUUUCAUUUUGGUUUCUUCUGAUGAUGUUUUCUGUGUGUCCCUUUGAAUAAUAAGCUGUAAGCACCUGUGA